CUAGAGCUAAUUAUAAAGCCUUCCUGCUCUGAUCAACAUCAUAAUUUUCCUUUUUGCUCACAAAAUGGGAGACGUUUGUGAAAUGAAAUCUCCUGCACCCUGUCCUGCUAGGUUCAUUCUGCAGAGUAAUGUUGUUUUAGGUUAUCAAGUAUGGGAGAUGCUAGCUAGGAAGCCGUUUGGUGAUGUGUCAAAUGUCCACAAACAAGAAGUUAAGGCAAUACCAGGAGAAACACCUAUCUCCUCAAUAUGUCCAUUCAUUGUUUCAAUUAACUGAUACUUGAUCAAAUUGGAGCAACUGGAUUAGAGUAGGCAUAUAGGAGGUUGAUCAGUUAGCAAGGAAUACCUUAUCUGAUCUACUAUUCAAG